CGCCGGUCUGCUUUUCUUUUUUAACUGUGAAAUACAUCAAGGACAGAGAAGAAUACGUGAAAUAUAUGUGCAGCUAAAAAGAGUCAUAAAGUGAACAUCCACCUAACAACCCAAAUCAAGAUAUAGAACUUGGCCAGCACCCAAAAGUCCCCCGACUCCCUCUCCCACUAGAGAGAAUAACCAUUCAUCUUGACUUUUACAAGAAUAAUUUCCUUGCUUUUCUUUGCAGUUCUACCAUCCAUGAAUGCAAGCUUUGCUCACUUUUGAAUUUUAUGAAGGAAACAAAGAAAGACAUUUUCAGACAAAGAAGACAAAGAGUUUACGACCAGGAGAAGCUUGCUAAAGGGAAUUCUAAGGGGCAUAUUUUAAAAAAAGAAAAAUGAUCCCAUAUGGAGAGCCAGAAAUGAUGAAGGAAUGAAGAACACAGGAAGCUCUAAAUGUGUUGAUAAAUCUAACAAACAUUGACUGUAUAAAACAAAAAUAAUGAUGUCUUUGGGGAUUAAAAAAUAAAUGAUAGAAAUGUAAUUAGUUUAAUCUCUAUGGAGGGAAAUUUAGCAUUACUGUACUUAUCAAAAUUACAAAUGUACAUAUCCUUUGAUUUAGCAAUUCCACAAAGAAUUGUAGGAAUUUAUUUGAAGGUUGAGUAUUUCUUAUUGUAAUUAGUCUUCACAUUGUUUUGACUGCAGGCAAGGAUAUUUCAGAUAUGUGAGCGCUUACUGGAACCAACGAAAUUCUUAAGUUGUAUAAUUCUUCCAAAUUCUUUGAUAAUUCCUGGUUCAAUCUGUGUUUACCCCCACUAAAUUUAUGACUACUUCUGUUUCUAAAUGCUUUACAAUUGAAUCACAAUUAAAUGUAAUGAGA
rnacentral:lncRNA from 1 species